rnacentral:rRNA from 1 species
GAUGAACGCUGGCGGCGUGCCUAAUACAUGCAAGUCGAGCGAACAGACGAGGAGCUUGCUCCUCUGACGUUAGCGGCGGACGGGUGAGUAACACGUGGAUAACCUACCUAUAAGACUGGGAUAACUUCGGGAAACCGGAGCUAAUAUCGGAUAAUAUAUUGAACCGCAUGGUUCAAUAGUGAAAGACGGUUUUGCUGUCACUUAUAGAUGGAUCCGCGCCGCAUUAGCUAGUUGGUAAGGUAACGGCUUACCAAGGCGACGAUGCGUAGCCGACCUGAGAGAGUGAUCGGCCACACUGGAACUGAGACACGGUCCAGACUCCUACGGGAAGAAGCAGUAGGGAAUCUUCCGCAAUGGGCGAAAGCCUGACGGAGCAACGCCGCGUGAGUGAUGAAGGUCUUCGGAUCGUAAAACUCUGUUAUUAGGGAAGAACAAAUGUGUAAGUAACUAUGCACGUCUUGACGGUACCUAAUCAGAAAGCCACGGCUAACUACGUG